rnacentral:rRNA from 1 species
UACGUAGGGUGCGAGCGUUAAUCGGAAUUACUGGGCGUAAAGCGUGCGCAGGCGGUUUUGUAAGCCAGAUGUGAAAUACCCGGGCUCAACCUGGGAAUGGCAUUUGGGACUGCAAGGCUGGAGUGCGGCAGAGGAGACUGGAAUUCCUGGUGUAGCAGUGAAAUGCGUAGAUAUCAGGAGGAAUACCGAUGGCGAAGGCAGGUCUCUGGGCUGACACUGACGCUCAUGCACGAAAGCGUGGGGAGCAAACAGG